rnacentral:rRNA from 1 species
AUUGAACGCUGGCGGCAGGCCUAACACAUGCAAGUCGAACGGUAACAGGAAGAAGCUUGCUUCUUUGCUGACGAGUGGCGGACGGGUGAGUCAUGUCUGGGAAACUGCCUGAUGGAGGGGGAUAACUACUGGAAACGGUAGCUAAUACCGCAUAACGUCGCAAGACCAAAGAGGGGGACCUUCGGGCCUCUUGCCAUCGGAUGUGCCCAGAUGGGAUUAGCUAGUAGGUGGGGUAACGGCUCACCUAGGCGACGAUCCCUAGCUGGUCUGAGAGGAUGACCAGCCACACUGGAACUGAGACACGGUCCAGACUCCUACGGGAGGCAGCAGUGGGGAAUAUUGCACAAUGGGCGCAAGCCUGAUGCAGCCAUGCCGCGUGUAUGAAGAAGGCCUUCGGGUUGUAAAGUACUUUCAGCGGGGAGGAAGGGAGUAAAGUUAAUACCUUUGCUCAUUGACGUUACCCGCAGAAGAAGCACCGGCUAACUCCGUG